ACAUUACCACACCUAAAAACUUUCCACGUGAACCGUAUCAAAACUUAGUUGGGGGUCUCUUUCGGCGGCGGCUGCUGGCUUCAUUGCUGGCGGCUGCUGUUGGGAGAGCUCUAUCAUGGCGAGCGUUUGGGCUUCGGUCUGAACUAGUAGCUUUUUUAAACCCAUUCUUUAUAACUGAUUAUACUGUAGGGACGAAAGUCUCUGCUUUUAACUAGAUAGCAACUUUCAGCAGUGGAUGUCUAGGCUCGCACAUCGAUGAAGAACGCUGCGAACUGCGAUACGUAAUGCGAAUUGCAGGAUUCAGUGAGUCAUCGAAAUUUUGAACGCAUAUUGCACUUCCGGGUUAGUCCUGGGAGUAUGCCUGUAUCAGUGUCCGUACAUCAAACUUGGUUUUCUUCCUUCCGUGUAGUCGGUGGUGGAUGUGCCAGAUGUGAAGUGUCUUGCGGCUGGUCUUCGGAUCGGCUGUGAGUCCUUUGAAAUGUACUGAACUGUACUUCUCUUUGCUCCAAAAGCGUGGCGUUGCUGAUUGUGGAGGCUGCUUGCGUAGCCAGUCUGGCGACCAGUUUGUCUGCUGUGGGUUAAUGGAAGAGUGUGCGAUACGCGGUAUGGUUGGCUUCGGCUGAACAGACGCUUAUUGUAAAUUUCUUCAGCUGUGGUGGUAUGAUUGGUGAACCGUAACUAUGUGUGCUUGGCUUUUGAAUUGGCUUUGCUGGUGCCAAUAGAGUGGCGGCCUCCGCUGUCGAGGGUCGAUUCAUUUGGAACCUGUGUAUGCUUCGGCAUGCAUCUCA
rnacentral:rRNA from 1 species